GCUUACGGCCAUACCAGCCUGGGUACGCCCGAUCUCGUCUGAUGUCGGAAGCUAAGCAGGGUCGGGCCUGGUUAGUACUUGGAUGGGAGACCGCCUGGGAAUACCAGGUGCUGUAAGCA
rnacentral:rRNA from 1 species